UACGGGGGGGGCAAGCGUUGUUCGGAAUUACUGGGCGUAAAGGGCUCGUAGGCGGCCAACUAAGUCAGACGUGAAAUCCCCAGGCUUAACCUGGGAACUGCGUCUGAUACUGGAUGGCUUGAAUUCGGGAGAGGGAUGCAGAAUUCCAGGUGUAGCGGUGAAAUGCGUAGAUAUCUGGAGGAACACCGGUGGCGAAGGCGGCAUCCUGGACCGACACUGACGCUGAGGAGCGAAAGCCAGGGGAGCAAACGGG
rnacentral:rRNA from 1 species